AUUGAACGCUGGCGGCAUGCCUUACACAUGCAAGUCGAACGGCAUCGCGGGAAAGCUUGCUUUCCUGGCGGCGAGUGGCGAACGGGUGAGUAACACAUCGGAACGUACCGGCUAGUGGGGGAUAACCCGUCGAAAGACGGGCUAAUACCGCAUACGCUCUUCGGAGGAAAGCAGGGGACCUUUGGGCCUUGCGCUAGCCGAGCGGCCGAUGUCCGAUUAGCUAGUUGGUGGGGUAAAGGCCUACCAAGGCGACGAUCGGUAGCGGGUCUGAGAGGACGAUCAGCCACACUGGGACUGAGACACGGCCCAGACUCCUACGGGAGGCAGCAGUGGGGAAUCUUGGACAAUGGGGGCAACCCUGAUCCAGCAAUGCCGCGUGGGUGAAGAAGGCCUUCGGGUUGUAAAGCCCUUUCGGCAGGGAAGAAAUCGGCGGGGCGAAUAACCCUGCUGGAUGACGGUACCUGCAGAAGAAGCACCGGCUAACUACGUG
rnacentral:rRNA from 1 species